GAUGAACGCUGGCGGCGUGCCUAAUACAUGCAAGUCGAGCGAACAGACGAGGAGCUUGCUCCUCUGACGUUAGCGGCGGACGGGUGAGUAACACGUGGAUAACCUACCUAUAAGACUGGGUUACUUUCGGAAAACCGAGCUUAUUCCCGGUUAUUUUUUUAACCCCCUUGUUUAAUUGUUGAAGGACGUUUUUCCUGUCCUUAUUGAUUGAAUCCGCGCCGAAUUAGCUAGUUGGUAAGGUAACGGCUUACCAAGGCAACGAUGCGUAGCCGACCUGAGAGGGUGAUCGGCCACACUGGAACUGAGACACGGUCCAGACUCCUACGGGAGGCAGCAGUAGGGAAUCUUCCGCAAUGGGCGAAAGCCUGACGGAGCAACGCCGCGUGAGUGAUGAAGGUCUUCGGAUCGUAAAACUCUGUUAUUAGGGAAGAACAAAUGUGUAAGUAACUAUGCACGUCUUGACGGUACCUAAUCAGAAAGCCACGGCUAACUACGUG
rnacentral:rRNA from 1 species